ensembl:lncRNA
CUCCCCUCAGGGCUCCCCAGCCCGGGGUGCUGUUGCUUCUGGGUCUACUGGAACCACCGCUCAGUGGGACCUGAUUCCAUGAGAGUGAUGUGGGACACAUUUCCCAGGAUGGGUGGAAAUGUACUAGAAGCACUUUCCUGGAUGUUGUGCAGGUCAAGGACCCUGUGGGGAGCGGGGAGAGACGCUAUGGAAACCCUGGGAACUGGCCGACUAGAAGAGACCCUGAGAGCUCAGCUUUAAAACAUGGUCUCCGCUCCCGCCGCCUGGAACUGCCAGAGACCUUCCAACCGUGGUCAGCCUACUGACUGCAGUCAGACGUUGAGCAGGGCAGGAGUCCAGGCUCUCCGAGGACCGCCCAUCCCACUGAAACACGGGUCCAGUGGUCCAUCCCACAGCUGGUGAGAGGUGAGCACGUGUUCCCCAGAGCCUCCAUCCUUUGCCCAAGUCCUUGUCCUGAAACCCCAUCUUCUGUCCUCAGGAUGGGCGUGGCCCUGAUGACCUUGGCUUCUGACCUAGAAACAGGCUCCUAUCACACAGUGCUUAAUAGCGUCAGCGCUGAUUGACUUCUGGACACCUUAGACACCUUCACUUUUCCUGGAAGUGUUUCCUUUUAGCAGUGACGGCAUUCCCAAAGCUGUCCUGGGGACUGCCAGCCCAUACCCUGUUCCAAGGGCCUGCCUGCUGGAGUCCCGGCCACCCUCAGAUGGAGAUGGGGCAGGGCGGCUCUUCGCAGACAUUCCCCCAUUCCUCCUGGGCGAAUCGCUGCCUCCUCUCAGCUCUGAGCCUCCCCAGAGUCUUCUUACCAUGCUGCCAGUAACAACAUCUCUGCAUCUUGUCAUCCAUCUCCCCUUCCAGGCUGGGAUCAUAGAAAACUAGAAAAACAGGGGCUUCCCUGGCAGUCAAGUGGUUAAGAGACCAUGCUUCCGACUGAGGAGGCACAGGUUCGAUCCCUGGUAAGAGAACUGAAAUCCCACAUGCUGCAUGGCAUGGCCAAAAAACUAAAAAAUAAAAUUUAAGCAUUAAAAAGGAAAAACCA